ACAUCAGCUGGAUGGUUCAAGCACAAAAGAGUAAUUUUUGUGAGAGCAAGGUCAGAUUAAUGGACAGCUCAGGCUCCUCUAACUACAUUGGAGCGUUGCUGGCAUGGUGUGUGUGAAGACGCUCUCAGACACACAGCGAUGAAGGCUCAGUGCAGAACAGACCAUCAGCAUCCCUGGGUGGAGGGCUGUGAUUUGUAGCUGAGGCCUGUGAAACAAAGCUCUGGAAGUGAGAUGUUGGGAAAUAUAUUUUGAAGACUCCCUUGACUAUAGCAAAAGCAACAGUGGCAAUAACUAAUACAUCCAGAGGCACGUGGAGAAAAGUUUCAUUGUGCUGUGACCAUUUCUGUCCAAGGACUCCUGUAAGAAGCAGGUGCCAAUGUGAAAACUGCUGCUCAGGGGGAGAAGAGAGCACAGAGGGUCCCGUCCAUCUCUCUGCUGCAGUGAACACCAAGUGCAGAUUCCUGGCUUCCAGCAGUGUGUGCCGUAGCCAUGGGACCACAUUACCUUCAGUUUUUAACUCUUACUAUAGCAUCACAAACCUCCAGGCCCCAUGGCAGCUCAUUGAACCUCCCUUUUCCAGUUCCUUGCACUCUAAAAAGGUGAGAAAAAUUCUUGCCAGCCCCACAAUUGGCUCAGGAUUAAACGUCUGCAAAGUUUGAUGAAAAGACAAGGUGUGAAUGCUGGCUGCUGUCAGCGAAGGAAAUGGGGCAGUUUAGUGGGUUAGGAUACCACCUACAACUUCUGUAUUUACUGCAGCAGAGAGCAGAGAAUUGGGCUUUUGGGUUUUGGCUAUUUUCUACUCAUUGGACUACAUGAGGCAUAAGAGUAAUUUUGAAAUACAGCAGAGAGACAUUGCUGUUAAUGAUGGACACAACAAAUAUUAGACAAUAACAGUGUGGUGCUAGCCAUGUCAAAUUCCAUCUUGCUUCAGCUGCUUUCCAGGAAAAUAGAUUUCUGGCUUUAAAUAUGAGGAUUAGCAGCAGCAGAUUUAGGGCUUAAAAUAAAGUAUGUAUUUUAGAUUUAUUUAGGGGCCUU
rnacentral:lncRNA from 1 species